rnacentral:rRNA from 1 species
ACUACGGGCGGCAGCAGUGGGGAAUAUUGCACAAUGGGGGGAACCCUGAUGCAGCGACGCCGCGUGGGUGAAGGAGUACUUCGGUACGUAAAGCCCUAUCAGCAGGAAAGAAAAUGACGGUACCUGACUAAGAAGCCCCGGCUAACUACGUGCCAGCAGCCGCGGUAAUACGUAGGGGGCAAGCGUUAUCCGGAUUUACUGGGUGUAAAGGGAGCGUAGACGGCAGUGCAAGUCCGGAGUGAAAGCCCGGGGCUCAACCCUGGGACUGCUCUGGAAACUGGAAAGCUGGAGUGAGGGAGGGGCAGGCGGAAUGCCUGGUGUAGCGGUGAAAUGCAUAGAUAUCAGGCGGAACACCGGCGGCGAAGGCAGCCUGCUGGACCGUAACUGACGUUGAGGCUCGAAAGCGUGGGGAGCGAACAGGAUUAGAUACCCCUGUAGUC